UACGAAGGGGGGCUAGCGUUGUUCGGAUUUACUGGGCGUAAAGCGCACGUAGGCGGAUCGUUAAGUCGGGGGUGAAAUCCUGGAGCUCAACUCCAGAACUGCCUUCGAUACUGGCGAUCUUGAGUCCGGAAGAGGUGAGUGGAACUCCUAGUGUAGAGGUGGAAUUCGUAGAUAUUAGGAAGAACACCAGUGGCGAAGGCGGCUCACUGGUCCGGGUACUGACGCUGAGGUGCGAAAGCGUGGGGAGCAAACAGG
rnacentral:rRNA from 1 species